rnacentral:misc_RNA from 1 species
GGUGCCGUUGCCUAACUACUUGUCAGGUUCGGAGGGCUCCGGAGAACAUGGCAGCGGCGGAAAGAAGGGAGGGAAUUCUCACGGUGAGUCGAGCGGUGGCGGGAAGGUUUCGAAGGCGGAGCAGGAAAGGCGGAAGGGGAUAGCGUGGACUGAGGAAGAACACAGAAUGUUUCUCCUUGGGCUCGACAAAUACGGCAAAGGUGACUGGCGGAGCAUCUCAAGAAACUUUGUAAUCUCCAGGACGCCUACACAGGUUGCAAGCCAUGCGCAAAAGUACUUCAUCCGUCUGAGCUCGAUGAACAAAGAUAGGAGACGGACCAGC